ACUGUCAGCGCAGAGCCCCAUGAAAGGCUCCAACUCAAGAACCGUGAGAUCAAGACCCGAGCCGAGAUCAAGAGUCGGAAGCUUAACCGACUGAGCUACCCAGGCGUCUUGUGUUUUGUUUUCACCUUAAAGAGUCGGCUUACAUCCAGCAUGUACGAUAGAGAGAAGAGAUCGUGAGGAGAAAAAGACACAGUGGGAUGGUAGACGGCAGGUUGCCCCUGGCAGGCCGGGUGGAGCAGGCAGCUGUGCAGGGCUCCUGCCUGCCAGCUUCUUUCACAUCACGAGAAGCAAAUGGCCCCCAGGUGAAGGAUGGAAGAAGCAGCUGAGAAAUCUUCCUGUCAUAUUUGGGUUUAUUUCCCUGCCGCCUGAGUAAGCUUUCAGUAACCUUGGUCUUUCGAUUCAACUAUUUUGAUGGAAAGAAAUAACGAUCACGGCAACUGUGGCUGAUGGAUGUUAAGAGCUGGACCUUACCCUUUCAGGGGAAGACUGCUUGAGAAUGGACUUGAGGACAAAGGUGUUACAAAGCAUGGCACCGGAAGCUAUGUGUUUGCUGACUCGACUUACCUUAUUAACAAGAUCAUUUCACGUUUUAUGUGAACAUAAACAAAACUUCCUAGGUAAUCUUUGAAGGUGUUGGAUGCUGUGGUAGCCACCACUGUGGCAAAAGGGCAGUGUUGAAGUGUAAUCAAUCUCCCAGAUAAUAAUAUUUUACCGAUCAAUAACUUAUUGUACUUACAGGUUUGCCCCGUCAUAUAAAAAUAUAUUUAUAAAAAGUAUCACCCGGACUUUAAAUUAGUAGACUGACUGUUGCUUUAAUCAUCUUUUAUCUUCUACAUGUGUGAACCUAAAAGAUUGAUGGUGUUUUAAUUAUGUCUACAUCACAUCUGAUUUCACAAUAACUUAUGGAGAAACCUAUUUUUGAUAGUAAUGAAAAAGGAUUUCAUAUACAGUUGCAUACAUGGAACUUAACUAGUUUUUUAAACCAGGUAUGUAGAGCUACUUUCUGGGAUAGGAAUCAUAAAUGGGUUUCAUCCGAGCACGAACUGGGCAGUUCACGGAAGUGGCAUCCUGAGAAAGCUGGUCUGGGCUCAGCAAACGUGUGUGCGAGAUGAAUUAGUGAUGUCUGCCAUGGAAGGACAAGGUCCUGGUGCCAUCUGUGUGCCAUCUCUGCCGUGGGAGGAAAGGGAAAAUACUGAAAUAUGUAGCAAAUGUGUAUUUCACUAUGCAUAAAGAUGCAUAAAGAAUUCCUCUGAUGACACAGUUUUUGCCAGAGCAAAGACUCAAUCGAUAACUUCAAAUAGUGUUACAUUUCAGAGCAUUAUUAAAAAUACUUAAUGCAUAUCUGGGUGUCUAAAAGAGUAAGGAUUAUUCAUUUUUCUCAACAUGUUACAAUUGUUAUGUGAAAUUCUGGAAAUUAAGUCUGUCAUCAUUAUGGUAGUGAAUAUCAGUCAGAAUCUUCCAAUUAUGUAAGCAACUCACAAAUGAGUCUUUUUCCUUGAAUUCCAUCAGCUCUGAGGUACACUGCAGCCUGAUUAUUUUCAUUAAUAUAGUUUUCAUCACACUCAAAGAAAAUGCCAUUGUUUGGUGAUUAUGACGCCCAUAGGGAAGUCAUAAAGUCUGUCAUAUUCCUAAGUUCCAUCUAACAGUAUCAGUGAGGAUACAACUCUAGCAUAGUCAUUUAUUUCCUGUUAAAGAUAAUAUCAAUGGAAAAGCAAAGUGGGGUUAUCCCCCUGGAGAGACCAUGAGUUUAAGAUGAUUAAUGUUGUAAAGAAAUAGCUUUCUUAUGAAUAAAUGGCCUUUUCAUCA